UUUCCCACUCACCCUCCUAAAAGGGUAAAGAUUUAUCAACCAAAUUCUUUUAAAUAAGCCAUAAUUAUACUAUAUGUCAUCAUCAUAAGCACUGGUAUCAAUUGUUUUAAUAGCAUUUCUUCUAAUAUCUAGUACUUAGUUUAACACAAAAUAAAUUACUCAGUAUUCCAAUCAAGCGCUUAUCUAAAUAGUGUGUAACAGCCUAUGGAAAUCUUCUUUAAGCCCUUCUAAUACUUUUGGUUAUUUUGGAAGUCUCCUAUUGUGAAUGGCUAGCUUAAAAUUCCUCACAUUUGGUAAAUGGGAAACCUAUAUUCUAUUUGUAAUUAGACAAUCAUCAUACUAUAUUACAAACAAUUCAAUUCAAACAUACAAACAAAAUAAGUCAUUCAAACAAAAAAAUUAAAAUAACCCAACAUGACUUUUGAAGUAACUCUACCAUGCAACUUAAUAAAAUUAAAGAUUAGCUACUAACUUUAUUAUCGAAUUAUUUAGAGAUGAGGUAAAGGUACUAAACUUAGAAAUUGAAAUUGAAAUAUUAAACAAAGUAAGAAAAUUAAAGAGUUAUAUUUAGCUCAAGAAUAAAUGACUUAACUUUUCAAGUAUUAGCUUCUAACUGAUCAUAAGUUUUUCAACUUAACUUGUGCCGACGCAAACCUCAUGUUCUUCAAGCUCCAACCUUCAAGCGCAUGCCAUUUUUCAGAAAUUAGAGUUUAUAAAUUUUUAAUUUCUAAUUAGCAAACAAAAGAAGGAAAAUAACCGAACAUGACUUUUGAAGGAACACUAGCAUGCAACUUAAUAAAAUUAAAAAUUAGCAACUAAGCCUAUCAUGGAAUUAUUUAAAGACGAGGUAGAGGUACUAAUCUUAGAAAUAGAUAUUGAAAUAGUAAACAAAAUAAGAAAAUUAAAAAGUCAUAUUUAGCUAAAGAAUAAAGAACUUAACCUUUCAAGUAUCAGCUUCUAACUGAUCAUAAGUUUUUCAACUUAACUUGUGCCGACGCAAACCUUAUGUUCUUCGAUUUCCAACCUUCAAGCGCAUGCCAUUUUUCAAAAAUUAGAGUUUAUAAAUUUUCUAUUUCUAAUUAGCAAACAAAAGAAGUAAAAUAACCCAACAUGACUUUUGAAGGAACACCACCAUUCAACUUAAUAAAAUUAAAGAU
rnacentral:lncRNA from 1 species